GGUGACUCAGUGGUAGAGUACUUGCCUUGCAUGCAUGAGGCCCUGGGUUCGAUUCCUCAGCACCA
rnacentral:tRNA from 1 species